UACAGAGGGGGCAAGCGUUAUUCGGAAUUAUUGGGCGUAAAGGGCAGGUAGGUUGUUUCAUAAGACUAAUGUGAAAUCCCUGGGCUUAACCUAGGAAGUGCGUUGGUGACUGUGAGACUAGAGUGCCGGAGGGGUGCAUAGAAUUGUCGGUGUAGCGGUGAAAUGCGUAGAUAUCGACAGGAAUACCAGAGGCGAAGGCGGUGCACUGGACGGCAACUGACACUCAACUGCGAAAGCGUGGGGAGCAAACAGG
rnacentral:rRNA from 1 species